AAUGCGGCGGACGGGUGAGUAACGCGUGGGCAACCUGCCCUGUACUGUGGGAUAACACCGGGAAACUGGUGCUAAUACCGCAUGAACCGAGAUCGUGGCAUCACGGAGACGGCAAAGGGAAACCGAUACAGGAUGGGCCCGCGUCCAAUUAGCUGGUUGGUGGGGUAAAGGCCUACCAAGGCGACGAUUGGUAGCCGAGCUGAGAGGUUGAUCGGCCACAUUGGGACUGAGACACGGCCCAGACUCCUACGGGAGGCAGCAGUGGGGAAUAUUGCGCAAUGGGGGGAACCCUGACGCAGCGACGCCGCGUGAAGGAAGAAGGUCUUCGGAUCGUAAACUUCUUUGACUGGGGAAGAAGAAGUGACGGUACCCAGAGAACAAGCCACGGCUAACUACGUGCCAGCAGCCGCGGUAAUACGUAGGUGGCUAGCGUUGUCCGGAAUUACUGGGUGUAAAGGGCGUGUAGGCGGGGAUGCAAGUCAGGUGUGAAAAUCCGAGGCUCAACUUCGGGACUGCAUCUGAAACUGUGUCUCUUGAGUACUGGAGAGGGAAGCGGAAUUCCUAGUGUAGCGGUGAAAUGCGUAGAGAUUAGGAGGAACACCAGUGGCGAAGGCGGCUUCCUGGACAGAGACUGACGCUGAGGCGCGAAAGCGUGGGGAGCGAACAGGAUUAGAUACCCUGGUAGUCCACGCCGUAAACGAUGGAUACUAGGUGUAGGAGGUAUCGACCCCUUCUGUGCCGGAGUUAACACAAUAAGUAUCCCACCUGGGGAGUACGGCUGCAAGGUUGAAACUCAAAGGAAUAGACGGGGGCCCGCACAAGCAGUGGAGUAUGUGGUGUAAUUUGAAGCAACGCGAAGAACCUUACCAGGGCUUGACAUCCCGAGACGUUAUUGGAGACAGUAAUUUCCUACGGGACAGGGAGACAGGUGGUGCAUGGUUGUGGUCAGCUCGUGUCGUGAGAUGUUGGGUUAAGUCUCGCAACGAGCGCAACCCAAGUUGAUUAGUUGCCAGCAAGUAAAGUUGGGCACUCUAGCGAGACUGCCGGUGACAAUUCGGAGGAAGGUG
rnacentral:rRNA from 1 species